rnacentral:tRNA from 1 species
GUUUUAAUAAUUUAAUAAAAAUUUUGGUCUUGUAAACCAAAUUUAAGGAAGACCUUUUAAAACU